UUGUGUUUUCUUUUUGGCAGUGGCUGAGUAAGUGCAAGUGGCAACACGAGCCGCGUCGCGUCUCGUCUCAGUGACCAGGGUUGCCAGAUUGGCACUUUUGGUGCCAAAAUCUAUAAAUUUGGCACUUUUUCAAUGCGUUUGGCAUCCAAAAAAUCAAGUUGGCAUCUUGGCACUUUUUUGGCAUUUUUCGAUAAAAAUCAUUCACUAGCCAUUUUUCUGAAAUUUCGAAAUGCCUAAUGCAUUGUUAGCACCAUCAUUACUGAUGGAAGAAAUGAAAACAUCAACAAACAGCGCAAUCUGUAUAAUGUGCAAUCAAGAUCAAGAGUCAAGACUAAAUCAAAACAAAACACAAGACCAAGACCCAAAACAGACUGCACGGGGGCGCGGGCGCCGGGCACGGGCUGCUCAUCCACAAGUUCUCUGUAACCGACCAUAACUGUACCAUCACAAUGCCGAAGUGGAAAGGUUUCUACGACAGCCAGAGAAACUACAAGUGUGAGUGGGAAAGAACCUUCUUGUGGGUGAAGGAAGCACCAGAUGGCCGAGGCGAUGCAUAUUGCAAGCUAUGCUUCUGCAAUUUAAAACCAAGACUCUCCAUUAUUCAAAAGCAUGAGCAGACGGAGAAGCACAAAAUGAAACAAUCUGUUAUUAGAACCACAAAGCCUAUUACUGUUUACCCCAGUGGUCCAAGUGAGGAUGUUAAAAAAACUGAAUUGGAGUUGGCAGUUGCAAUAUCUUGUCAUUGCUCUAUUAAAUCAAUUGACCACCUUGGUGAAAUAAUGAAAAAACAUGGAAAAGGAAGUACACUUGGGAAAAUAUCAUUGCACCGGACAAAAUGCAGCAAAUUGGUCACUGAAGUAGUCUCACCUGCCUUUAAACAGGAGUUAAGGAAUGAUAUCAAAGGUGAAAAGUUUGCUGUGCUAGUUGAUGAAUCAACUGACAUUAGUACAGAAAAACAUUUAUGCAUAGUUGUUCGCUACUUCAGCAAAAAGGAAAAAAAAAAUAUGACAGAACUAGUAGGACUUGUACCAGUGACUGAAGCAACAGGUGCAGUUUUGUUUGAUAAGAUUAAGACAUCAGUGCAAGACAUUGGUCAAAGCUUAAGCAACUGUAUAGGAUUUGCAAGUGAUGGUGCAUCCGUCAUGGUAGGACAUAAUAAUUCUGUAUGGACACGAAUACAAGAGGAGUCACCGAACUGUGUGCUAAUGAGGUGCAUUUGUCACUCCCUUGCCCUUAGUAUACAGCAUUCUUUCAAUAAAUUGCCAUCUAACCUGGGGUUCCUCUUAUCUGAAAUUCCGAAAUGGUUCUCCAAAAGCUCUCUUCGGAGAGAGUCUUACAAGACUCUCUUCAACAUCAUGAACCCAGACGAUGAAAGGAAAGGACUACCAGCUCCAUUUCAGCAACCAUCUGCUACAAGAUGGCUGGUAAGAGGAAAAGUUAUCUUAUGUUUCUUAUGCUUUAUUUUGAGUGUUGAGUGAAUGUGUGGAGCUGUGAGGAAUGGUCUCAUUACUAUUAGAGAACAAUUAAUGCCAAAUAUAUUUGUAUUUUGAGUGUUGUUUGGCAAUGUUGGGCUUUAAGGAAUUAUCUCAUUGCUAUUAUAAGAAUAAUUAAUGCCAAAUAGAUUUAUAUGCUAUAUUUUGAGUGAUAUGUGGCAAUGUUGGGCUUUAAGGAAUUAUCUCAUUACUAUUAUAAGAACAAUUAAUGCCAACUAGAUUUAUAUUUUGAGUGUUGUGUGGCAAUGUUGGGCUUUAAGGAAUUAUCUCAUUACUAUUAUAAGAACAGUUAAUGCCAAAUAGAUUUAUAUUUUGAGUGAUGUGUGGCAAUGUUGGGUUUUAAGGAAUUAUCUCAUUACUAUUAUAAGAACAAUUAAUGCCAAAUAGAUUUAUAUUUUGAGUGUUGUGUGGCAAUGUUGGGCUUUAAGGAAUUAUCUCAUUACUAUUAUAAGAACAGUUAAUGCCAAAUAGAUUUGUAUGCUCCUAGUCUAUGGUAUGCUUUAUUUUGAGUGUUGUGUGGCAAUGUUGGGCUUUAAGGAAUUAUCUCAUUAAUAUUAUAAGAAUAUAUAUAUAUAUGCUUUAUUUUGAGUGUUGUGUGCCAAUGUGGGGCUGUAAGGAAUGAUCUCAUUACUAUUAAAAGAACAAUUAAUGCCAAAUAAUUACAUAUGCUUUAUUUAGAAUGUUUUGUGGAAAUGUGGAGAUAUAGGGAAUGGUCUUUCAUUAUAACUUUAAGAUCAAUAAUUAGCCUAAUGUGAACGGAGUGCCUAGAUUGGUUCAUCUUGAAAAUGUACAUGUACAAGUAAAAAUAUAUAUUAUCUAUCUCUAUGAAGAUUAUUAUGGGUAAACAUUGUAAAUUUAUGAAUUAACUAUUUUUGUAACUUUGCACAUAACCAUUUGGCUAGUAAUAAAGAUUUUUUUUAAAUA